rnacentral:rRNA from 1 species
GUAGGGAAUAUUGGACAAUGGGCGAAAGCCUGAUCCAGCCAUGCCGCGUGUGUGAAGAAGGUCUUCGGAUUGUAAAGCACUUUAAGUUGGGAGGAAGGGCAGUAAGUUAAUACCUUGCUGUUUUGACGUUACCGACAGAAUAAGCACCGGCUAACUUCGUGCCAGCAGCCGCGGUAAUACGAAGGGGGCGAGCGUUAUUCGGAAUCACUGGGCGUAAAGCGUGCGUAGGCGGUUUUGUAAGUUAGGAGUGAAAGCCCAGGGCUCAACCUUGGAAUUGCUCUUAAAACUGCAAGGCUCGAAUCUCGGAGAGGAUAGCGGAAUUUCCAGUGUAGCAGUGAAAUGCGUAGAUAUUGGAAGGAACACCAGUGGCGUAAGCGGCUAUCUGGACGAGUAUUGACGCUGAGGCACGAAAGCGUGGGGAUCAAACAGGAUUAGAAACCCUAGUAGUCC